rnacentral:rRNA from 1 species
AGAGUUUGAUCCUGGCUCAGAUUGAACGCUGGCGGCAUGCCUAACACAUGCAAGUCGAACGGGUUGUACUUCGGUACAGCUAGUGGCGGACGGGUGAGUAACACAUAGGAAUCUGCCCGAGAGUGGGGGAUAACCCAGGGAAACUUGGAUUAAUACCGCAUGAUCUCUACGGAGCAAAGCUGGGGACCUUCGGGCCUGGCGCUUUUGGAGGAGCCUAUGUCUGAUUAGCUUGUUGGUGAGGUAACGGCUCACCAAGGCGACGAUCAGUAACUGGUCUGAGAGGACGACCAGUCACACCGGAACUGAGACACGGUCCGGACUCCUACGGGAGGCAGCAGUGGGGAAUAUUGGACAAUGGGCGAAAGCCUGAUCCAGCAAUGCCGCGUGUGUGAAGAAGGCCUUCGGGUUGUAAAGCACUUUAGGAUGGAAAGAAAAAACUUCAGUUAAUAGCUGAAGUCUUGACGGUACCAUCAGAAUAAGCACCGGCUAACUCUGUGCCAGCAGCCGCGGUAAUACAGAGGGUGCAAGCGUUAAUCGGAUUUACUGGGCGUAAAGCGUGUGUAGGUGGUGGCGUAAGUCGAUUGUGAAAUCCCCGGGCUCAACCUGGGAACUGCUUUCGAUACUGCGUCACUAGAGUACGGUAGAGGGUGGUGGAAUUUCCGGUGUAGCGGUGAAAUGCGUAGAUAUCGGAAGGAACAUCAAUGGCGAAAGCAACCACCUGGGCCUGUACUAACACUGAGACACGAAAGCGUGGGGAUCAAACAGGAUUAGAUACCCUGGUAGUCCACGCCGUAACGAUGACAACUUGACGUUGGUUUGCUUAGCGAAUCAGUGUCGUAGCUAACGCGAUAA